GACGAACGCUGGCGGCGUGCUUAACACAUGCAAGUCGAGCGGAGCGGCGAACGGGUGAGUAACGCGUGAGUAACUGCCCCCCUCUCUGGGAUAACAGUUGGAAACGGCUGCUAAUACCGGAUAGUGGGGGAUGGCUCGCGUCCUAUCAGCUGGUUGGUUGGGUAGUGGCCUACAAAGGCGACGACGGGUAGCCGGCCUGAGAGGGUGACCGGACACAUUUGUCUGAGAUACGGCCCAUACUCUGACGGGAGGCAGCAGUGGGCGAUAUGGCACAAUGGGCGAAAGCCUGAUGCAGCGACGCCGCGUGGGGGAUGAAGGCUUUCGGGUUGUAAACCUCUUUCGCUAUCGAAAGGGUAGGUGGAGAAGAAGCGCCGGCUAACUACGUGCCAGCAGCCGCGGUAAUUC
rnacentral:rRNA from 1 species